rnacentral:rRNA from 1 species
AUGACAAGCACUUUGAAAAGAGGGUGAAAAGAGCCUGAAACCGUCACGGGGGAAGCGGAUCGCGUUGGAUUGAUGGGCGCUUGCGUGUUCAGCCCUUUGGGUGCAUUGGCGCAAGUUGCUUAUCCGCUGUGGGUUUUCGGGGGUUGAUUUUGAACCCCUGGGGACUGAGGGCUCCCUUUUAUAGGUUGAGGACAGCGGAGUGACGACGCGAUACGACCCGUCUUGAAACACGGACCAAGGAGUCUAGCGCGGGUGCGAGUCGGAGGGUGCAAGCCCGUGGGCGAAGUGAAAGCGAGUGUAAAAACGAGCAGUUUGGGGCGGCAUAAGAUCGUUGAUCUUAAGACCGACCCAGAGCAGUUGCGCUGGGACCCGAAAGAUGGUGAACUAUGCCGGAGUAGGGCAAAGCCAGAGGAAACUCUGGUGGAGGCUCGUAGCGGUGCUGACGUGCAAAUCGCUCGUCGAACUUGGGUAUAGGGGCGAAAGACUAAUCGAACCAUCUAGUAGCUGGUUCCCUCCGAAGUUUCUCUCAGGAUAGCGGGCCGACAAGUUGUUUUGUGC